AAGAGAUGAUGUCACCACAAGGAGAAUUAUAGAAUCACAAAUGGACAUAGAUCUGGAAAGAUUGCCUGGCUUCUCUCCCUGUAGGAGACCGAGGAUACUCUGGUAGAGAAAUGAUGUUGCACAAAGAACCCUGGAGUCAAUAGAUGUGAGUUAAGAGGAAACCUGGUCUGAACAGUGGCUAAAGUGCUGGAACUGCAGUCUAGAAGAGCAGAGUUCAAAUAUUGUCUCUGAGGAUCACUCGUCGUGUGACCAAUGCUUGGAGCUUCGGCUGGUGACUUGCCUCUUGGAAGUGGCUUUGGACUUGAACCUUGGCUUUGACUUUGGUCCUUGGGUUCUUGGAUUGCUUCCUGGAGGAGUGCUCUUGGAUCUUCUCUUUUGGACUUCAACUUGGAUACAUGGGUACCUAAGGAACAAAGGAAGAAGAUGCCAAUAGAUCCAGUUAUGAAGAACAAAUGCUCAGUUAAGUGCUGUGACCUAGAAUCCAGUAUCACAGAGCAUCCCUGAGGCCAACUGGGAUUUUCAAGGUUCAGGAGCAUGUAGGCAUAACAAAGGACAAACAUGAUAUACUGUAA
rnacentral:lncRNA from 1 species